AUGUGGAAGAAAUGACUUGGGAGGCCGAGGAAAAUAUGAAGUCUAGAUAUCCCUACUUAUUUCCUCCUCCAGAAAAUGUUCCGACAUAGACACCAUAAUCAUAAGGUACGUGUACAAAUUAUUUUAUUGGUUAUUGUCGUUGGCCAUGUGAGGCCAUUGUCGUUUUUGAUAAUUGGUGCGGCGUUGGAUUAUUAAGCUUCUACAGGGAGAGUUGGUAGUGGUGAUGUUACAAGACAACCCUACCAAAGUUAUAUAGAUCACAGGGAGUUGAACACUUGAGGACAACUGUUUCUAAG
rnacentral:lncRNA from 1 species